AACCGACACAGGUGGGUGAGGAGAGUAUCCUAAGGCCAGCGAGAGAACUGUUGUUAAGGAACUCGGCAAAAUGACCCCGUAACUUAGGGAUAAGGGGUGCCACCAUCCGGUGGCCGCAGAGAAUAGGCCCAAGCGACUGUUUACCAAAAACAUAGGUUUCUGCUAAGUCGCAAGACGAUGUAUAGGAGCUGACGCCUGCCCGGUGCUGGAAGGUUAAGGGGAUCUGUUAGAGCAAUCGAAGCAGUGAACUUAAGCC
rnacentral:rRNA from 1 species